rnacentral:lncRNA from 1 species
ACGCCGCCUCUAAAAUCCCUAUCCUCUCAAACUCUCUUGAAGUCUCUCGAAACCCCAAUCACCGUCUACCACUUUCAACCUCAAACUCACUGAAAUCCGUGGCUGCUCAGGCCAUGGACGACCUAUAACCACCUCAUGCUGCUCUUAUGUGCCUGAUGCUUGAAGGUUUGAGGCCAGACUUCGAGGGUCUUCACUCAGACCUUCGCCAACUCGAGGUUUCUGGCCAUCUGUGGCCUUGCUCCGGCGUAUCCCAGCCUCAUGAGUCUGAUUCCGAUAUUAUCUAAGUUAGAUCGAACCUUUUCAAAGCCUUUCUCACUCUAUGGUUCCUCUGAAACCCUAGAUAUUAGAGGUUUUUCUCCGAUUCCCUUUAGAUCCGUGGUGUAUCUAUGUUAUAUUUGAGUUUUCAAAUGAUUUCCCUAAGUUUUCCUUUGAAAAUUAAUUUCAAACCCCUUGUUUUGCGAUUUAGGAUUUUCUGGAAAAUGUUUAAGUAUUUUCUAAUUGUCUUUUUCCUUUAAGUGUACUUGCUUCUGUUGUGGUCGUGUUUUUUCUUUUACCAUGUUCUUGUAUGUUCUUCUACUGAGUUUUUGUACUCCAUUCUUGAAUGUUAUUUUUAUUGUGCUUCCACCAUGCUUUCCAUACUAUGUUCUCAUAGGCUUCCAUCUAUGUUCUGGUAUUUUCUUUUACUAGCCGCUAUACUGUACUUUUCUACUGUAUUCUACUGAUCCUUGUUUAAGCUUCUACUAAGAAAAGACCUUCUUAAGCAUGUUUCUUUUACUGUGUUUUCCUAUUGUGUUUUAAAGUGUUUUUACUAUUUUCCAUUACCGAACCUUAGCUAAGUUUCUUCUGAAAAAGUAUGUUUCUUCUACUAUUAUGUUCUUUGAAUCCCUCUACUGUGUUUGCAUCAUGAGUUCUGAAAGAAGCAUGUUAGAAGCUUCAGUUUUUUUCUGAAACCUCUACACAUGCCUCGAUUCAAUUUGCUUGCCCUCUCCUCUUUGCUUUCUGGUUUGCUCGAACUAGGGUUUUAUUUCAAUGACCCCCUAAUUCUCUCAGACCGAACUUGAGUCUCUGAACCAUGUUUAGACAUCUUUAUUUUCAUACAAUUCUGAACUUUGCUAAACUCUUCGCACUAGAUUUUGCACUGGUUUUACGAUGGCUUAACAAUUUUCUUUCACGUUUAACGUGUCUGUGCGCUUUUUAUAUAUGGUGAAUUUUCCUCAAAAGGGCUUUCAAAUUGGAAAUUAGUGUAAAUUUCUUUCUGAAUAUAUCUGGGUUGAUUUCUUUCCAUCUUUUACUGAUCUCCUCUGUGACCCGACUUGGGUAAAAUCUUCUCCACCUUUACGGCUUAUUUCAUUCAAACAAAAUAUUUGACUAUUGAUUUCUUGGCUGUUAACUGAUUUUUUUUCUUAAAUUAUACAAUUGUGUACUUUUAGAAACCUUGUCCUGAAAUAACCUUUAUGUAUUUGCCUUCAAUUGCAUGCUUUGCACAAAGGGGUUUGAUUAAUUUCUUUCAUUAAUUGGUUUAUACCUGUUUGAAUUUGAAUCAUUUAAUUAAAGGGAGUCUUAUGUAAUUGAUUGACAAUCAAACUUUAAUUAUUUUCUUACCUUAUUUCCCAUGACUUUCACACUAUAAAUACCUUACCCUCUUUUUCACAACACACGCCUGAAUACACUUCAGACUUCAUGCUUACAAUUUUCACAAUCUCUUCUGAACAUUCACUUAAAAGUAUUCUUGUCUGCACUUUGGCUUUCACAAGACUACUGCUUUCUCUUUGCUUGUCUCUUUAAAACCGGUAUGUCUUAAUUCAAUUUCCAGCAUCGUCCAACUUACAGUUUUUGUAUCUAUGUCUACUUUCUGCUGAAUUUGACAUUGAAAUGUCUAUAUGCUACUAUUUACUUUACUUUCUUGUAAACACUUGCUCCCUAUCCCAUUACCUUCUAUAUGUUUGUAAGUAGGGACUCAGGGCAUGGCAACAAGAAUUGUUGUCCAUAAUUGAGUGUUGUCCAUGAAUUGAGUUCUGAUCCCAAGUAGGCUGGAAGGUGUGCCAGUAUGUCUCAUUGAUGGGUAUGCUGCCUACUCUUUCCUUGUAUCCUGCUUCUAUUAUUAAUCCCCAUAUCCCCACAUCCCCUAUGUAUGCUGGGUUAAAUUUCAUGGCAUGGCAACAUUCAAAUGGAUGUCCAGGUCUGAACCUAACCUUCAACGGGUCCUAACUCCUCAAUUUAAAACUGACAAUCUGGUCAGGGGUGUGCCAGCACCCCAAAUUGCUUAGCAUGAUCACCAGCUUGCCAUUUCCCCUCUACUGCACUUGCACUUACUCUUAGACUCUAAGUUCUGCCCCCUCCUAUGAGCCUUGCCUUGGGACUUUAAGUUCCCUCUGAACUUGGACAUUUGAAGGCUGACUCUUCCACACUGCACUAUAAUUUAAUUCUGCAAUAAUAUUUAGGGUGUAAGCACUGCCUGGAGCUCUUGAAUCUCCUUGGAACUUUGACACAUCCCCAAUAAGGGAAAGGCUUUGAAAAUAUGAUCUUUGGAAGGUGGUUUAUUUUAUAUUUCAGACCUGGGGUCUGAAUUAGGCUCUCCUUGGUUGGAAUCUUUAAUUUCUGAUGUAAUUUUUAUUUUUUUAUUCAUUCUAGUCUGUAAUAAUCUUGUAAAAACUGCUGGGGUGUUAAUGAAAAGGGGAGGGCCGAUCAUGCAUGCAAAGGGGUAAAUAUCAUGUUCAU